rnacentral:misc_RNA from 1 species
GGGUACGUCGCGGUCGAGCCACCCUUCCCACAUUCUCGCGAUCGCAAACCCCAAAAUCGGACUGGAAUUGCCGACUCUAAACAAUGGGUAUAUUCACCCCUCUUGGCAAGGCCAGGUCUACUAAAGUGUGUAGUGCGCGAGUGCGUGUUUCAUGCUUGUGUUAAGGUGCUAGAACCAUUUCUAUGGGUGCACGGUUCAUCGCUCGACGUGAAAUAGCAUCAUAGUAAUUAGCAUUAUAACAAUUAUAAGUGAUUAUCUAACUAAUUCGACUAUAGCAUCAUACGUAAUGUCAUCAGCAGUGAAGCGUAAGCUCAAAUGAGGCGAUUAACUAUUGAAGAUGAACAGGCCGGGCUACGAUUACACCGUGCCUGCAUCCACCACAUAUUACGCGAGUAAUAACCGGCCGCCGCAAUACGAUCGCGGCUACGGGCAGCUCACAGUCGGCCCCGUAUACAGUCCUUCCUCCCACCCGUUAGCCAAUUACGCAGAUGUGUACGAGGGUAACAACGAUACUACGCUAAGAGCAGAAGAACGUCAUUGGUAUAUAGAAAACCACAAGAAUUUGCAACCAAAUUAUGACGUCAAUCAUGAAACUAUACCUCAAGAUGCCAAAAUUAAAAAAGAAGAGGAGAAGAAAACCGAAGUGCCUGUUCGUAGGACCGACGCGACACAACCGCGGCAGAGGCGGAAAGAAGACCGUUGUUCCUGCGAGUGUUGGCCUAGUACUGACAAUAAUGUCGUACAAGAUAGUAUAAUAGGUAACGAGACCUCGAGGUCACUUUCUGGUGUUGACAUGGUGGCCUCGUAUGGAGUGUACGGGAAUCCUCACGAUGACGAUAGUUCGGGGUUUGCGCGCCUUUCGGAAAAGAAUAAUGCCGUUUACGCGCAGAGCAGUGACGCCCCUGUACAAGGUGUGGUGGUGAACCAGCAAGGCAACAGUACCGUGGUACGGUCUGCAUCCUCCUCUGGAAGUGGUUGUAGCAAAUGUUGUGUAUGGUCUUCGAAUGCGCCCGCUGCUAACUCCGAAGACUACUGCUGGAUCCACUACUGCAGGCCCGCAUUAAUAGUUCUAUUGCUGCUGUUUUUUCUAGUCUUGUUGGGUGUAUCAACAGGGUUCUUACUGACGAAUAACUAUUUACAUUAUCAACCAAGACCACCUGCUCCUGAAGAGGCGUGCGAGAAGACAUUCUGUCGGUGGGGCGCCGAGUGCGUGUCCCUCGGGGACGGGCGGGCGCACUGCGCGUGCCCCGCCAGCUGCCCGAGCUCGCCCGCCGCGGUGUGUUCCACCGCAGGCCGCACUUACCGCAAUCACUGCUAUUUACGUAAAGAAGCUUGCGAGCGACGGCUCAACCUACGGGUCAAGCAUGAAGGCGAAUGUGAAGCUGGAGACCCAUGCGCUGCAGUGACAUGUCCAGUUGGUGCCCGAUGUACAGUCUCCAAUGGUCAACCAGAGUGUCGCUGUUCCAGAAGUUGUCAGAGAAAAAAGCCAGUUUGUGGUACUGAUGGAAAGGAGUAUCCAUCAGUCUGUCAUCUAGAUAAAUAUGCCUGCGAAAAUCAAUUGAACAUUACUGUAAAAUACCAUGGAAAGUGCGAUCCAUGUUCAGAACAUGAAUGCGUCGAUGGAGGAGUAUGUCAAUUGAACGAUUCUCGUCAACCAGUCUGCCGGUGUGGUCCACCAUGUGACUUAGUCGUCCGUACCGGAUCAGCAGUUUGCGGUUCUGACUACAGGGACUAUCCAAGCGAGUGCUCAUUGCGCCGCGAGUCAUGUAGAACACGUCAACAGCUCACUAUUGUGUAUAGAGGAGAAUGUGCUUCAGCACAACAUCCGUGUGAUUCCGUUAAGUGUGGUCUUCGCGAGCAGUGUUCUUUGGACGCACGUGGUGUGGCGGUAUGCGGAUGUGGGCCGGAGUGUGAGGCAAUUGUUCGCCCAGUGUGUGGUUCUGAUGAUCGCACCUACGACAGUCCCUGUUUCCUAGAGAGAGCAUCAUGUCUUGAGAACCGAGAAAUACGAGUAGCGUAUGCAGGAUCCUGCGGUUUAGAAAAUCCAUGCGCGCGAGCAAUAUGUCCGUGGGGAGGAGCGUGCGUGUCGCGCGGUGGCGCAGCUCAGUGCGCAUGUCCGGUGUGCGCACCCACGCUUGCUCCUGUAUGCGCGUCAGACUACAACACUUACGGAAGUGAGUGUAAGAUGCGCAUGCAUGCAUGUCAAGAAGGAAUCAAAGAGGAAGAUCUACGAGUGCUAUACAAUGGGACUUGUCAAUCGUGUGUGGACGUUGUGUGCCAAGGAGGAGGAGACUGUGCUUUAGAUCCAGCGACAGGCCGGCCUGUCUGUCGUUGCAAUCACAACUGCACUGAAGCACAGGAAUCGGAUGUAGUAUGUGGAACUGAUGGCCAGACGUAUGCUUCACAAUGCGAAUUGGACGCGACAGCAUGUCGUGAGCAAAGCGAACUACGGAUCGCGUAUAGGGGUGAUUGUGCGCUUUGCGAAGGGGUGCAGUGUUCCUUCGGAGCUCGUUGUGCAGCCGGAGAGUGUAUAUGCCCCACUGACUGUACUGGCGCUGCCCAAGAGCCAGUUUGUGGAAGCACCAUGCAGACGUAUCCCAAUGAGUGUGAAUUACAAAAGACUGCCUGCAAAUUACCACCUCCAGCUUCACUCCAUGUCAUAUUUUACGGAGAUUGCAAAGAUCGACUUGCUGUUGUUCCACCUAUCGCUAUGACUACGACCGCGAUGACCACUACUGAGGCUGAGGAAGGGUCGACGGAUUCAUUGGGAGCGAUGGAACUUGGCGGUACAGCGAACCCGCUGGCGUGCCGCGAUAUACGUUGCGACUUUGGCGCGAGUUGUGAGAUCGGCGGUGACGGAUAUCCUCGGUGUUCCUGCCUCUUUGAAUGUCCGCACGAAGUUGAAUAUUUCCCUGUAUGCGCCUCAGAUUUUAGAUUAUAUUCAAGCUUAUGCGCCAUGCGAAAAGAAGGAUGUCAAAAGCAGCUCGAACUCCGUUUGCGCCCACUGGAACUUUGUAAAGGUAUGGAAGUAAGGCCUUGCGGUAACAAUAAAGCAAUGGUGGACUCAACAACUGGUCUAGAAAUUGACUGUGGAAAUGGGCCUCAUCGACAGGAUUGUCCAAUGGGAAGUUACUGCCACAUUACAUUGACUGCAGCUAGAUGUUGUCCCAAAAAUGACACGAAGUUAAUGGAAGAGAAAAAAGUGCAACACUGUUCUGAAAGUGCAUACGGUUGUUGUACCGACGGAUCAACAACAGCUACGGGUCCUAAUGAAGAGGGUUGUCCAAUCACGAGUUCUACUUGUGGGUGUAACAGACUCGGAUCGGUGUCAGACCGAUGUGAUGAAAAUGGCCAGUGUUCCUGCCGCCCUGGUGUCGGAGGGUUGAAAUGUGAUCGCUGUGAGCCUGGUUAUUGGGGACUGCCUCGGAUCGGAUCCGGCCAUACUGGAUGUAUUCCUUGUGGAUGUUCCGCAUUUGGAUCCGUAAGAGAAGACUGUGAACAGAUGACAGGGCGUUGCGUUUGUCGAAAUGGAGUCCAAGGACAGAAGUGUACUGUGUGCGCUGAUCAUCGACGAAGGCUUGGUCCUAAUGGAUGUUCUGACCCUGAAACUGGCGGUGUGGUAUCGUCGUGUGCAGAGCUGUCCUGUUACUUCGGCGCCGUGUGUACAGAGCGUACCGGUGGUGCUCUCUGCGAAUGUGCAGCCGCACCUUGUCCCGACAGUGACACAAAUAUGCUGGUUUGCGGCAGUGAUAGUAAAACUUAUGAAUCAGAGUGCCACCUCAAGUUGCAAGCGUGUCGCACGCAAGAAGAUAUAGUAGUGCAAGCCUUUGGCCCCUGUAAGUUGAGCGAAAUAGCUGGCACCGCCGGCCCCCCGAGACCUUCGUCACCUAUACAGUUCACCCAACAAGACGAUGGGGCCGCUUCCAAAUCGACUAGGCAUUUAUUAAAUCCUGACAAAUAUUAUAACAAAUAUGACUGGACGAGAAAAGAAACGCCAAGUGACUUCGAUAGUGUGAUGUCUGGGCAGAAAUUUAAAGGUUCCCAAACAGCAACAACGGCUACUGUUGGUGCAGUGGGCGCUUUACUGGGUGAUUUAUGCGCUGAUGAUAAUGACUGUGCUGCAUUACCUGGAGCACAGUGCGCGCAUGGAGGUUGUGUGUGUAGACCUGGAUACGCGCCCACGGUACACAGGAAAGCUUGUGUGGAGCAAGUAACGCAAGAAACAACCGAGGAAUAUAGCGCAUGUUUAUCCGAGCCUUGUUACAAUCUUGGCACGUGCAUCGAUCUACCUGGCUCCACAUACACAUGCGUAUGUUCUGGUCCAUACACAGGACUCAACUGUGAAUCUCUCAUAAAAGAUGGACUCCUAGGAUCAUAUAUUGAGACUCCUUUCUUUGACGGUUCAUCAUAUAUACGUUUGAAACCUUUGAAAGCUUACCAUAAGUUGAACAUCGACAUAGAGUUCAAAACUUUCUCGGAAAAUGGAAUCAUAUUGUAUAAUCAACAGAAAUAUGAUGGUACUGGUGAUUUUGUUUCUCUUGCUCUGGUCAAUGGAUAUUUAGAAUUUAGGUAUAAUCUUGGUAAUGGAGUAAUAGUUCUGACGUCUCUCGAAAAAAUAACAUUGAACGAGUAUCAUAAAGUAUCCGCAAAAAGAUAUCACCGUGAUGGUAUUUUAUCCGUCGAUGAUAUGGAAGACGUAGCAGGCCAGUCUACGGGACAUCUGAAAGCCUUAGAUUUAGCGGAAGAUGCUUAUGUUGGUAGCGUACCCACUAAUUAUUCAAGGGUUUUCGAUAAUAUUGGCACUCGAAGCGGAUUUAUUGGGUGCGUGAAGUAUUUGAGGAUAAUACGUCAUCAAGUAACAAAGAAAUUGGGCCGUCCAGACUCAUUAGUAGUUUCCAUAGAAAAUGUCAGGGAGUGCCAAUCGAAUCCGUGUAUGAGUGUUCCAUGCAAGAAUGGCGCCACGUGUAGUAUAGUUGAUGGGUCGGCGACCGAAUACACUUGUAUCUGCCCUAUCGGAUUUCAAGGAGGCAAUUGUGACGAGAGAUUAGAUCCAUGCGAGUCGAAUCCCUGUGGAUAUGAUGAGGGGCUAUUGUGUGACAUUGGAUCAGAGGGAGGAUAUGUGUGUCGGUGUUUGUUUGGCGGUGAAAUUGGUUCCAAUGGAAAUACUUGUAAUAACGAUGUAAACGUAGUACAAGAGACGUGGUCCCCUCAAUUUAACGGAACGAGCUACAUCGAAUUACCACCACUCGAGGGGUUAGGAAAGGCGUUCCGCAUCGAAAUCUGGUUUUUAACGAAUCGCUUCUCCGGGAUGCUCCUCUACACAGGCCAGUCUAAUAAAGCCAAAGGGGAUUUCAUAGCGAUUAACUUAGUUAAUGGAUACCUACAGUUUAGGUACAACUUGGGAAGCGGGAUUGCUAAUAUCACAUCUCCUGUACCAAUAAUCAAAGGCCGGUGGCAUCGUGCUCGCGUGGCCCGCGCAGGUCGUCAUGGCAGCUUACAACUAGAUCAUCAUCCUACACAAAAAGGACAUUCACCUUCACCACUAACGCACCUGGAACUUACAUUACCACUAUUUAUUGGAUCUCUGCCGGCAUACAUCCGUCCCCACAAAAUGUCAGGUGUGACCAGCAGUUUCAUAGGAGUAGUGCAACAGGUCUUCGUAAAUGGUAUACCAUUAUCUUUGUAUAGUGGCGAGACUGCUAAAUGUGCAAUUAUGCAGGAAGAAGAUAGGCUGCCUUGCGCCACUAGUGGUGUUACAAAAUACACUGGGCCACCCUGUGGAGAUGGUUUAACCCCCUGCAAGAACAAUGGGUCAUGUGUACCGCUCUUAAACGAAUACAAGUGUAUAUGCCCAGAGGGCUACGAGGGCAGGAACUGUGAGAUUCAGCUUAACGUAGCAAUGCUCAAUGACAGAACGCCAAUUACGUUCGACGGAAACAAUUAUUAUUCGUAUAGGAGUAAAGGAAAUCGAAGCUUACAUACUAACAAAAAUGUUGGUAAGGGGCACUAUGAUGUAAGAUAACAUACGAUGGACGAGAGAAAAUAUACGUUAAAUGCUUAAAAUGCUUAGUUUAGGAUACGCAGUGCACGAGGUGUUAGAUAUGAAAUUAAAUUUCGAACUUAUAAUGACUCCGGUCUUCUGAUGUGGAGACGGAAAAUUGGUAUACGGCCCCGUGACUUCAUCGGUGUAGGACUGAGCGAU